rnacentral:rRNA from 1 species
UACGAAGGGGGCGAGCGUUGUUCGGAAUUACUGGGCGUAAAGGGCGCGCAGGCGGCUUUGAAGGUCAGAUGUGAAAGCCCCGGGCUUAACCUGGGAACUGCGCUUGUUACUGAUAGGCUUGAGUGUGGCAGAGGGGGGUGGAAUUCCACGUGUAGCAGUGAAAUGCGUAGAGAUGUGGAGGAACACCGAUGGCGAAGGCAGCCCCCUGGGCUAACACUGACGCUCAUGCACGAAAGCGUGGGGAGCAAACAGG